UAAUAAUAAUAAUAAUAAUAAUAAUUUGGAGAUAGCAUGGACAACAGUGAACUUGGAGUUUGAAUUAAGGUCUUGCCAGAAGCUAAAAUAUAAAGCUUUAAAGUGUACAUAUAUUGUAGUUAUGAGAGUGCCUAUGAUUCCUGGGCGCUGUGGUGCGUGCCUGUAGUCCCAGCUACUCAGGAGGCUGAGGCUGGAGGAUCGCUUGAGUCCAGGAGUUCUGGGCUGUAGUGCGCUAUAGCGAUCGGGUGUCCGCAUUAAGUUCGGCAUCAAUAUGGUGACCUCCCGGGAGCGGGGGACCACCAGGUUGCCUAAGGAGGGGUGAACUGGCCCAGGUCGGAGAGUGCCUAUGAUUGAGAUCAUCCAGGGACAGUGUGAUGUGCAACUGAUAAAAGGGCUGAAGUUAAAGCCUCACUAACAUUUGAGGUGGAAGCCUUGAAAGAAGUAUCUGCCAGAGGAAAAAAUUGCAAGCAAUUGGAGAAAUAGAAUAAAGCAGUGUCUUGGAAACUGUAUUACUUUGUUUCAAAUGAGCAAGUUCUGGUUUACAGCAAGAUUCAUUUCAUUCUAUGAAAAAUAGAGUAGCUUAAAUUUUAAUUUCACAUCUUUUGUUAAACUUCCAACAUUUUGCUUAUAAAACAAUCAGGCUUUUACCCCACUAGAUGGCAGUAUUAUUUAAUGUUUUAUAGAGCAGCCUGCUUUGCCUUUUUUUUCUUCCACUGCCUUAGAAAAGGAAAGUGAAGGAAUAUUUAUUCAAUUAUUUACUGAGUUAAGCACUUAACUGAGUACCCUGUAUAGGCCGGGCGCGGUGACUCACGCCUGUAAUCCCAGCACUUUGGGAGGCUGAGGCAGACAGAUCACGAGGUCAGGAGAUCGAGACCAUCCUGGCUAACAUGGUGAAACCGUCUCAACUUAAAAUACAAAAAAAAAAAAAAAAAAAAAUUAGCCGGGCGCGGUGGCGGGAGCCUGUAGUCCCAGCUAGUCGGGAGGCUGAGGCAGGAGAAUGGCGUGAACCCAGGAGGCAGAGUUUGCAGUGAGCGGAGAUCGGGCCACUGCACUCCAGCCUGGGCGACAGAGCAAGACUCCGUCUCAAAACAAACAAACAAACAAACAUACACAACUGAGUACCCUCUAUAUGCUACCUCAUGCAGUCCCUGCAAUAAUGUAAGCCAGAAUCUUGGCAUUUCUCUGUUCAAAAUGCUUCAAUGGAUUCUGAUCUCCUUUAGAAUAAAAACCAAAGUCCUUACCAAGGCCAAUAAGACCUUACGCAAUCUCCAUUGCCCCACACCCCAUAACCCAUACCUUGCCACUCUCUAAAUUUACAGAACACACUUUUACCUCAGGCCUCCUUUGUUUUUUUAAUCAACCUUUUUGAGGUAUAAAUUAAGUAAAAUAAACUGCAUCUGUUUA
rnacentral:lncRNA from 1 species